UACGUAGGGAGCAAGCGUUGUCCGGAAUCAUUGGGCGUAAAGCGCGCGUAGGUGGCUUCAUAAGUCCGCUGUGAAAGUCAAAAGGCUCAACCUUUGAAAGCCGGUGGAUACUGUGAAGCUAGAGUACGGAAGAGGCGAGUGGGAAUUCCUGGUGUAGCGGUGGAAUGCGCAGAUAUCAGGAGGAACACCAAUAGCGAAGGCAGCUCGCUGGGACGUACUGACACUGAGGCGCGAAAGCGUGGGGAGCGAACAGG
rnacentral:rRNA from 1 species